CAAGUCGAACGAACGAGCUUGCUCGUUAGUGGCGGACGGCUGAGUAACGCGUAGGUGACCUGCCCCGAAGUGGGGGAUAACUGCCCGAAAGGGUGGCUAAUACCGCAUGUGGCGACACUUUCAUUGGUGUCAUCAAAGCCGCGAGGCGCUUCGGGAGGGGCCUGCGUCCGAUUAGCUCGUUGGUGGGGUAAUGGCUCACCAAGGCGACGAUCGGUAGGUGGUCUGAGAGGACGAUCACCCAGACUGGGACUGAGACACGGCCCAGACUCCAACGGGAGGCAGCAGUCGGGAAUUUUGCUCAAUGGGCGCAAGCCUGAAGCAGCAACGCCGCGUGCGGGAUGAAGGCCUUCGGGUUGUAAACCGCUUUUACCAGGGACGAUAAUGACGGUACCUGAUGAAUAAGUCACGGCUAACUACGUGCCAGCAGCCGCGGUAAUACGUAGGUGACCAGCGUUGUCCGGAUUUACUGGGCGUAAAGAGCGCGCAGGCGGUCGUUCAAGUCGAGUGUGAAAGCCCCCGGCUCAACUGGGGAGGGUCACUCGAUACUGAUCGACUUGAAGGCAGGAGAGGGAAGCGGAAUUCCCGGUGUAGUGGUGAAAUGCGUAGAUAUCGGGAGGAACACCAGUGGCGAAGGCGGCUUCCUGGCCUGUUCUUGACGCUGAGGCGCGAAAGCUAGGGGAGCAAACGGGAUUAGAUACCCCGGUAGUCCUAGCCGUAAACGAUGGACACUAGGUGUUGGUGGUAUCAACCCCACCAGUGCCGAAGCUAACGCAUUAAGUGUCCCCGCCUGGGGAGUACGGCCGCAAGGCUAAAACUCAAAGGAAUUGACGGGGCCCCCGCACAAGCAGC
rnacentral:rRNA from 1 species